AGAGUCAGUGGUGUGUUAAAUACCUACAGCUGCGGUGUCGUGCAACGAUUCGUGUUGACUGGAAUGGUCCAGGCACGGGUGUAAUUGAAGUUCUCAGCCGAAUGUCAUGCAAACUGCCGGCGGAUGACGUCAGAGGUAUGAGGCGCGGCGCGCUGAUUGGCCGACCGGCGAGCGGCGCGGCGCGCUGAUUGGUCAGUCGGCGGCGUGUGACGUCCGUCCCGGAGGAAUGCCGAUCGGGGGAUGGCUACUGGCCAGAUGGCUCUGUCUCCUGCUACUGCUGCUCACAGGCUGUGCCGGAAACCCAGACGCCAAGAGGCUCUAUGACGACCUGCUCUCUAACUACAACAAGCUGGUGCGACCCGUCGUGAACGUCACCGAUCCGCUCAAGGUGCAGAUCAAGCUGAAGCUCUCCCAGCUGAUU